UACGUAGGGGGCAAGCGUUGUCCGGAUUUAUUGGGCGUAAAGAGCGUGUAGGCGGCCUGGUAGGUCAGCUGUGAAAACUCGAGGCUCAACCUCGAGACGCCGGUUGAAACCAUCAGGCUAGAGUCCGGAAGAGGAGAGUGGAAUUCCCGGUGUAGCGGUGAAAUACGCAGAUAUCGGGAAGAACACCCGUGGCUAAGGCGGCUCUCUAGUACGGUACUGACGCUGAGACGCGAAAGCGUGGGGAGCAAACAGG
rnacentral:rRNA from 1 species